GACGAACGCUGGCGGCGUGCCUAAUACAUGCAAGUAGAACGCACAGGAUGCACCGUAGUUUACUACACCGUAUUCUGUGAGUUGCGAACGGGUGAGUAACGCGUAGGUAACCUGCCUGGUAGCGGGGGAUAACUAUUGGAAACGAUAGCUAAUACCGCAUAAGAACAUUUACUGCAUGGUAGAUGUUUAAAAGGUGCAAGAGCAUCACUACCAGAUGGACCUGCGUUGUAUUAGCUAGUUGGUGAGGUAACGGCUCACCAAGGCAACGAUACAUAGCCGACCUGAGAGGGUGAUCGGCCACACUGGGACUGAGACACGGCCCAGACUCCUACGGGAGGCAGCAGUAGGGAAUCUUCGGCAAUGGGGGAAACCCUGACCGAGCAACGCCGCGUGAGUGAAGAAGGUUUUCGGAUCGUAAAGCUCUGUUGUUAAGGAAGAACGUGUGUGAGAGUGGAAAGUUCACACAGUGACGGUACUUAACCAGAAAGGGACGGCUAACUACGUGCCAGCAGCCGCGGUAAUACGUAGGUCUCGAGCGUUGUCCGGAUUUAUUGGGCGUAAAGCGAGCGCAGGCGGUUAGAUAAGUCUGAAGUGAAAGGCAGUGGCUCAACCAUUGUAGGCUUUGGAAACUGUUUAACUUGAGUGCAGAAGGGGAGAGUGGAAUUCCAUGUGUAUCGGUGAAAUGCGUACAUUUAUGUGAGGAACACCCGGCGCCGAAAACGGACCCGGGGUGGAGUUGAGGCUGAGGUGGUU
rnacentral:rRNA from 1 species